rnacentral:rRNA from 1 species
GACGAACGCUGGCGGCGUGCUUCAUACAUGCAAGUCGAACGAGAAGCUGACUUCGGUCAGUGGAAAGUGGCGGACGGGUGAGUAAUAUGUAGGAAUCUGCCUUAGAGAGGGGGACAACAGAGGGAAACUUCUGCUAAUACCCCAUAUGAGCGUACCUGAAAUGGUAUUCUUGAAAACUCCGGUGCUCUAAGAUGAGCCUGCAUCUGAUUAGCUUGUUGGUGGGGUAAUGGCCUACCAAGGCGACGAUCAGUAGCUGGUUUGAGAGGAUGAUCAGCCACAAUGGGACUGAGACACGGCCCAUACUCCUACGGGAGGCAG